rnacentral:rRNA from 1 species
UACGUAGGGUGCAAGCGUUAAUCGGAAUUACUGGGCGUAAAGCGUGCGCAGGCGGUUAUGUAAGACCGAUGUGAAAUGCCCGGGCUUAACCUGGGAACUGCAUUUGUGACUGCAUGGCUAGAGUGUGUCAGAGGGGGGUAGAAUUCCACGUGUAGCAGUGAAAUGCGUAGAUAUGUGGAGGAAUACCGAUGGCGAAGGCAGCCCCCUGGGAUGAUACUGACGCUCAUGCACGAAAGCGUGGGGAGCAAACAGG